UACGUAGGGCGCAAGCGUUAUCCGGAAUUAUUGGGCGUAAAGAGCUCGUAGGCGGUUUGUCGCGUCUGCCGUGAAAGUCCGGGGCUCAACUCCGGAUCUGCGGUGGGUACGGGCAGACUAGAGUGAUGUAGGGAGACUGGAAUUCCUGGUGUAGCGGUGAAAUGCGCAGAUACCAGGAGGAACACCGAUGGCGAAGGCAGGUCUCUGGGCAUUAACUGACGCUGAGGAGCGAAAGCAUGGGGAGCGAACAGG
rnacentral:rRNA from 1 species